GUGGGCCUACGGGGCGCAGCAGUGAGGAAUAUUGGUCAAUGGCCGAGAGGCUGAACCAGCCAAGUCGCGUGAGGGAAGACGGCCCUACGGGUUGUAAACCUCUUUUGUCGGGGAGCAAAGAGAGUCACGUGUGACUCAUUGAGAGUACCCGAAGAAAAAGCAUCGGCUAACUCCGUGCCAGCAGCCGCGGUAAUACGUAGGGGGCAAGCGUUAUCCGGAAUUACUGGGUGUAAAGGGAGCGUAGACGGUUAAGUAAGUCUGGAGUGAAAGGCCGGGGCCCAACCCCGGGACUGCUCUGGAAACUA
rnacentral:rRNA from 1 species